rnacentral:rRNA from 1 species
CAGUCGCCGCGGUAAAACGAAGGGGGCGAGCGUUGCUCGGAAUGACUGGGCGUAAAGGGCGCGUAGGUGGCGUGCACAGUCAGAUGUGAAAUUCCUGGGCUCAACCUGGGGGCUGCAUUUGAUACGUGCGUGCUAGAGUGUGGAAGAGGGUCGUGGAAUUCCCAGUGUAGAGGUGAAAUUCGUAGAUAUUGGGAAGAACACCGGUGGCGAAGGCGGCGACCUGGUCCAUUACUGACGCUGAGGCGCGAAAGCGUGGGGAGCAAACAGGAUUAGAUACCCCGGUAGUCCCUGUCUCUUAUAA